AUUGAACGCUGGCGGCAGGCCUAACCCAUGCAAGUCGAGCGAGCGGCGGACGGGUGAGUAAUGUCUGGGAAACUGCCUGCUGGAGGGGGAUAACUACUGGAAACGGUAGCUAAUACCGCAUACCAUCAGAUGUGCCCAGAUGGGAUUACCUAGUAGGUGGGGUAACGGCGCACCGAGGCGACGAUGCCUAGCUGGUCUGAGAGGAUGACCAGCGACACGGGAAUUGAGACACGGUCCAGACUCCGAAGGGAGGCAGCAGUGGGGAAUAUUGCACAAUGGGCGCAAGCCUGAUGCAGCCAUGCCGCGUGUGUGAAGAAGGCCUUCGGGUUGUAAAGCACUUUCAUCGGGGAGGCGUUACCCGCAGAAGAAGCACCGGCUAACUCCGUGCCAGCCGCCGCGGUAAUAC
rnacentral:rRNA from 1 species